AUUGAACGCUGGCGGCAUGCUUUACACAUGCAAGUCGAACGGCAGCGCGGGCUUCGGCCUGGCGGCGAGUGGCGAACGGGUGAGUAAUACAUCGGAACGUGCCCAGUAGUGGGGGAUAGCUCGGCGAAAGCCGGAUUAAUACCGCAUACGACCUGAGGGUGAAAGCGGGGGAUCUUCGGACCUCGCGCUAUUGGUGCGGCCGAUGGCAGAUUAGCUAGUUGGUGGGGUAAAGGCCUACCAAGGCGACGAUCUGUAGCUGGUCUGAGAGGACGACCAGCCACACUGGGACUGAGACACGGCCCAGACUCCUACGGGAGGCAGCAGUGGGGAAUUUUGGACAAUGGGCGAAAGCCUGAUCCAGCAAUGCCGCGUGUGUGAUGAAGGCCUUCGGGUUGUAAAGCACUUUUGGCGGGAACGAAAAGGACUGUGCCAAUACCACGGUUCGAUGACGGUACCCGCAGAAUAAGCACCGGCUAACUACGU
rnacentral:rRNA from 1 species